UACGAAGGGGCUAGCGUUGCUCGGAAUUACUGGGCGUAAAGCGCACGUAGGCGGUCUUUUAAGUCGGGGGUGAAAUCCUGGAGCUCAACUCCAGAACUGCCUUCGAUACUGGAAGACUUGAGUCCGGGAGAGGUGAGUGGAACUGCGAGUGUAGAGGUGAAAUUCGUAGAUAUUCGCAAGAACACCAGUGGCGAAGGCGGCUCACUGGCCCGGUACUGACGCUGAGGUGCGAAAGCGUGGGGAGCAACAGGG
rnacentral:rRNA from 1 species